UAGAAGACGCUUGGAAACACCUCCAAGUCCUGUCUCCCUACAAACCCUAUUUUGUCUCUCCAAACCUUUAUUUUCAAAACCCACAACCGUCUAGUUUGAAUCUAUCACUCACUCAAAUCUCUCACUCUCUUGCUCUCUCUCAAUUCUUCUUCAGAGCGAUUGCGAUUUUGAAAUUUCUCAGAGCCAACCUAUUUGCAUCCGUAUGGCUUCAAUCAUGUAGUUUCUCAGAGCGAUUGCGAUUUCGAAGUUCAGUUUUGAGCACUGCUAUCUACAAUCUCAAAAAAACCAAUCGAAUCCUUCAAAAUCUGCUUCAGCUCUGGGAUUUAUCUCAGAAUGACAUCUUGGUGAUUUCGAUUUUGAUUUCAAAGCUCUCUUUGUCUUUCGAUUUUGAAGAUCAAGGCAUUGCAUAUGCGGAGAUCAAGGCAUUGAGAGAAGGCAGAAAGGUUCACCUUUCAAAGAAACAGAAGAAGAAGAAGAAGAACUAACAAGUUUUGCUUGUAUGAUACUUGGGAGCAAAUGAUGUAGAAUAGAAGACAAACCUAGCACAGCUGUCAUUGUGGUGACAAAGGAAGAUAAAUAAUUGGCAAUUUCUCAAGACAGAAAUGAGUCCAGAUGGAGGUCACUUAAGCAGAGGAUGUAAGUAGCUCUGCUAGGAGGACUUGGGAGUCUCUUCUCUUGAGUAGACAUUUUUUUUAAUAGUUCUAUUUAGUCUCUGCUAAUGCCGCUAGGGAGUCACUUUUGUAAGAUCCUUAUAUUUUUAAUAGUUGUUGUUGCUGCUUUGUUCAUUUUUAAAGCAGUAGCUAUGAUGAGAGCCUUGAAGGUUGUAAUUGUUAAAACAGCUUAUGGGGUCUGUGCAAUUUUUUGGCAAAUCACCUCUUUUAAAUGUUGUUCAUCUCACACUGAUGAGAGCUACUCUUGAAGUUUAAGUAAUUUGACGUCUUCUUGACCAUUUUGAUUUUAAUUGAUGUAUUUAAAGUCUGAACAUGAAUUGUUUCUAUUUUUGGGUAUGCAAUG